ACCUACGGGGCGCAGCAGUGGGGAAUAUUGCACAAUGGGGGAAACCCUGAUGCAGCAACGCCGCGUGAAGGAAGACGGUUUUCGGAUUGUAAACUUCUAUCAGCAGGGAAGAAAAUGACGGUACCUGACUAAGAAGCCCCGGCUAACUACGUGCCAGCAGCCGCGGUAAUACGUAGGGGGCAAGCGUUAUCCGGAUUUACUGGGUGUAAAGGGAGCGUAGGCGGCGAGGCAAGUCAUAAGUGAAAGCCCG
rnacentral:rRNA from 1 species